CCCAAGCUAAUCUCUCUGAAGAGAUCGAGGGUGCUGUACACAGCUUAUCUGUAGAGGAGUAUCAGACCCUCCGACGAAUGAUGAAAAAGUAUGAAUCAUCUUCUAACACCACACCUUCUACUCUAGAACAGUCUAGCCACCAGAACGGAUAUCUUGAUUCUUCUCUUUUUGCACACUCAGGUACUCUAUAUAAAUUAUCACAUGCAUUUACUUGCGGAACAUCCAACUCUUGGGU
rnacentral:lncRNA from 1 species